rnacentral:rRNA from 1 species
GACAGAGGUGCCAAGCGUUAGGCGGAAUCACUGGGCUUAAAGCGUGUGUAGGCGGGUUUGUAAGUACCUUGUGAAAUCCCACGGCUUAACCGUGGAACUGCUGGGUAUACUGCGAAUCUUGAGCUGUCUAGGGGGUUGCCGGAACAAACGGUGGAGCGGUGAAAUGCGUAGAUAUCGUUUGGAACGCCAAUGGUGAAAACAGGCAACUGGGGGACAUGCUGACGCUGAGACACGAAAGCCAGGGGAGCGAACGGG